GCUGAGCCCGGACUCUUCCUUCUCCAAACGGAUUCUCCGUCCCGGCCGCGGGCUGGAUCGCCCCGGGUUGGGGUCGCGGUGCCGCGUGCUGCUGGAGCCCCCCGAAACCGAGGGGAACGGCGCCGGGGACGCGGUGGAAGGGACGGCGUGCGGCCGACGGUGCCCGGUGAGUCCCCAAAACGCAACGAAAGACCCCAAAAAUCCAACCGAGGGGCUCCAAAAACCAACCGACGUCCCCAAGGAUCGCCGAAACGCGACGGAAGAGCCCAAAAAUCCAACGGUGGAGCCCAAAAACCGAAGGAAAGGCCCCGAAAAUUCAACAGAGGAGCUCCAAAAUUCAAAGGGAGACCCCAAAACUCCAACUGACCUCAACCAAAACCCAACGCAGGACCCCAAAAAUUCAACAGAAGACCCCAAAAAAUCAGCAGGGAACCUCGCGUGCCCUGGAGAUGUCAAUGAGAACCGAGCUGAGGGCUACAGAGACCCCAAAAACCCAACAGAAGACCCCGAAAGCCCAAGAAAAGAACCCAAAAUCCCAAUGGAAGACCCCCAAAAUCCACAAAGAGAUCCCAAAACCCCAACAAAAGACCCCAAAAGUCCAACUGAUGUCAACCAAAACCCAACGGGUGACCCCAAAACCCCAAUCGACCUCAACCAAAACCCAAGAGAAGACCCCAGAACCCCAAUGGAUGUCAAUGAAACCCAAGAGGAAGACCCCAAAAACCCAAGGAGAGACCCCAGAAGGCAAUCAGAAGACCUCAAAAUCCCAACGAAAUGCCCCAAAACCCCAAUGGACCUCGACCAAAAUCCAACGGAAGAACCCGAAACCCCAAGAGUAGACCCCAAAAACCCAGCAGGAGACCCCAAAACCCCAAGAACAGACCCCAACAGUCGAAUGGAAGACCUCAAAAUCCCAACGAAAUGCCCCCAAACCCCAACUGACCUCAACCAAAACCCAACGGAAGACCCCAAAACCCAAAGGGGAGACCCCAAAACCCCAACCGACCUCAACCAAAACCCAACGGAAGACCCCAAGAACGCAACCGACGUCAAUCAAAACCCGACACAAGACCCCAAAAACCCAAAAGAAGACCCCAAAAACCCAACAGAUGUCAAUCAGAACCCAGAAGACCCCCAAAUCCCAACAAAAUGCCCCAAAACCCCAAUGGACCUCGACCAAAACCCAACGGAAGACCCCAAAACCCAAAGGGGAGACCCCAAAACGCCAACCGACCUCAACCAAAACCCAAUGGAAGACCCCAAAGCCCCUACUGACCUCAACCAGAACCCAAUGGGUGACCCCAAAACCCAAAGGAGUGACCCCAAAACCCCAACCGACCUCAACCAGAACCCAACAGAAGACCCCAAAACCCCAACAAAUGACCGCAAAAUCCCAAUGAAUGACCCCAAAACUCAACGGAGAGCCCGAAGAACGCAACAAAUGACCACAAGACUCCAACAAAUGAUCUCACAGACACAAGAAAGACCCCAAAAUCCCAAUGAAGGACCCCAAAAUCCCAAUGUCCCCCUCCCCCGUCCCCCCCAACCUGCACGGCCUUGACGAUGGCGACGACGCCGGUGGGCCAGAAGCAGCAGAGGGUGGUGAGCACGGCGAUGGGCAAGUAAUCAUGCGGGGGGGCACCGGGGGGAGGAGCGGGGAGCACCGGGCCGGGGCUGUACACCUACAGGUGGGCGGGGCUUUGGGUGGCUCCGCCCCCUCCAUAAGCUCCGCCUCCCCCACAUUCAUAAGCUCUCAUUC
rnacentral:lncRNA from 1 species